CUCCCUCCUCUGUCUACUCACCAGGCCUCUCUGAGGACGCAGGAGGCGGGGUUGCCGUGGGGGAGGAGCACCCUGCAGAUGGCGCCCUGACUUUGGCAAGGAAGGGGCUCCAGGGUCACAUGGAGGUCAAAGGAGAGCGGGGCAUGGCGAGGGCUGCUCACACAGGGUCCUGGCCACCCACGGGAACUAACUGAAAGAGCAGGGGGCAUUGAGGCCCUGAAGACACAGGGAGAACGCAGGCCACCUGGGCGGAGGGGACGUUUCGCUCAUGCAGUCAUCAACAAACUUUAACUGAGGGACACAAGGGAAUCUCCAGAGAUUUAAGGAGUAAGUGCAUGAAAAGAAAGAAGGAAGGAGAGAGGACAGAGUCCCUGCACUGUCGGAACUCUCCUUGAAUAUAAGAUGACGGCUCAGAUGAAAAAAAUACCUACAAUGCAGAAUCAUGCAGGAGGUGCUAUAAAACUCUCCCAAAAUGAAGAAAAGAGAAAAAUCCUCGCCUUCGGGAGUCCACCUUGACAGCCCCAGCCCCGCACCCAGGGCCUGGCACACAAACAGCAAGCCGGGCCUCGGUGGAGUAGGUGCACCUGGGGCUGCAGGGCAGGGGGACCUGGACAGGUCUCAGAGGGGGCUGCUGAGAGGAGGGGAGGGGCUCGGUGGAAGGGUCAGUGGCCUGGCCCGGAAACCAUCCCGGAGGAGUUCCCUGGGAGCCGGAAGUCUGCAGAGCUGUCCCCAGGAGGCCACUGCAGGGGCCCCUUGCAGGCUCCUUAAAACAUGGAUUGGGGACACUAAUGCCCAUAUCACUGGCUGCUAUGAUGAUCCCAUCAGAUAA
rnacentral:lncRNA from 1 species